GUGCUCACUUCGGCAGCAUAUACACUAAAAUUGGAAUGAUAUAGAGAUUAUCAUGGCCCCUGCACACGGAUGACAUGCAAAUUCAUGAAGUGUUCCAUACUUUU
ensembl:snRNA U6 U6 spliceosomal RNA